rnacentral:lncRNA from 1 species
ACUGAUGAUUUAGCUGGUUAUUAUAGCUUGUGGAUGUUCUCUGUUGUUUUUUUGCACACAAGGUGUUUGUCUGUUUGUCCGAGCCAAUGUUCAUGAGCUUUAUCUUUGCUGUGAGUACGGCAUCUUUCUGUCCAUCUGAUUGUUCCAUGUUAUACUAUCUGUUGAAGAAAAUAGAUCUGUAUUGUUUACCUUGAAUUUUCUGAUUGUAGAUAAAUGACCUGGCUGAGAAGGUCCCUUCAAUGAAAGGAGGAGUAUGGUCUUGGCCAUGGCUGGGAAGGAAGGAGAACAUGUAAAUUGAGGAUUUUUCAGAGCGAUCGGGACUGCUUGAUUUAUCAGUGGACUGGUGCGCUGGUUGAUUAGGAUCUUUCAGAGAGAUCAGGGUUGCUUGAUUAACCAGAGAGAAACUGGAUCAGUACUUGGAGUUGGGACUGGUGUGCUACGGUUGCUUGAUUAAUCAGAGAGAAACUUAUCAUAAUUUAUGAUUUCCUUUUCUUGAUUUGGAGCAAGUGUCUUUGCUGGAGUCAGCAUCCUUGUGGUUGAUCUCAUAUACACGAGGUAUGGUAUUUCUAUCCUUAAAAGUAUGUAACAAAUCCACAAUUCAUUUUGAGUUAUUCCUGUGUUUUUUUGGGAUCAGGAUUAUCCGAGUCAGCUCCUUGUGGUUGAUCUCAUAUACAUGAGGUAUGGUAUUUCUACUUUAAAAGUAUGUAAUAAAUCCACAAUUCAUCUUGAGUUAUUCAUGUGUUUUUUCGGAUCAGGAUUAUCCGAUUAUUAAAGCACAUAAAUUGGAGUUGAAAUAUAGGCGGGUUGUGUACACGGGGUACAUGUACGUGAUGUAAACAAAACCUAUAUAACUCAGGUACGCCAUGCAUCUAGCUUAAUUUUUGCAUGGGCGACAAUUUGAAAAGCUUACUGCAGGUCUGCCAAAGAUAGAUUAUACACAAUAUUAAAAAUCAUCUUGAGAAAUCUGGAAAGUUUGUAAAACUUAAAAUACACACCUCUCUUUACAGGUUGGCAAUUUCGAAUUCUAUCUGUCAUAUUGUUUUUUCUAAUACAGCGGCAUCUCUACUACCCUCCUGUAAAGCGAUUGGCCAUUGUUAGGAUAAAAAUAGCAACUACACACGUAUUUAAUCAAUCUUUUGGCCUAUAUCCUUCGGUAUUAUUAUUGCCAAUUUGAGGGGGAAAAGGCAAAACAUGUAAAGCUUUAUAAGUUUUAUAUCCUACCCUAAGCCCAAAUCUUUAUGUUGUUCUUUAUGCAAGACUCCAUAACACUCCGGCCUUGAUCACAAAUGAGUCGCUGGCUGCCAUAGCACUAUCAGUUCCCUGUGGUGAUCGUCGUUUAUAUUGGUUUGUAGCGCAGGGAAUCGGUACUACAAGAGAGCUUCAAGCUGACGGCCAAUAGGAAUGGAAGACAUGACUUGAUGGAGAAAUCAGGUGCGCAUAUGAACAACAUAUUGUCUUCCAAUUUUUUUCAUCAUUCAGUAGGACAAUUUCCUAAUUCUGUAUGAAAAGGUUAUUAGUAUGGAUAUAUAUUUAUCGAAUUUAAUUAGCAUAUAUGAGGUUCUUUGUUCGGCCCCUCUUUUGCUCAUGACUACAUAAUUAUUCGGACUUGUAUUCUAGAUAGAUGCUUUUCUAUGAACCUCAUAAAAAAUGUAAUAUGCCUUAGAUCCUAAUUGACUAUUUAUACAUCGGAUAAUUUCAGCUUGUUGUGUCCCAAGAUACCCAUUUUUUUUACCAAAAACAGGUGAAGUCCUAACAAUAUAUACUCCUGCAUUGUAUCUUCAAAUGUAGAUUGCUUCUGUAGGAUUCGAACAGAUGAUAGUUUGCAGACUGAUGAGUUGGUUCCAGUAACAUCACAUGUCAAGGAUACCUCUCUCCACUUACCAAUCAAUUUUUUUUAUGAUGAUGUUCAGAGAAGUGUGUUUAAUUUCUGUCGCAGUGUGAUGUUGUGAUUAGUUCAGUUUUGCUUGAUCUAUUUCGAGUUAAUUCCUUUUUGUGAUGUGGUGUUAGGGAACAUACAUUCUGCUCUCUUGUUCUUCAGCUUGGGGUGUCGGCAACUACCUAUUACUACUAGGGAGUCUUAUUUCGGACGGAAAGAAAAUACAAUAUUGGGUUUUAUCCAUUUGUAUGCCUGCGUUAGCCUUAUGAAGCACAAAGGAUGUCCCAGUGAUCAAGCACGGAUGAUACUUGGUGUAUUCUUACUAGGCUAAUGGGCAAAUACUCGAAUAACUGAAUCACCUGCCAUCUUUUUUUAUUGUAACGGCGGUGUUAUAUCUGCAACAACAGUUUGUAAAUUUUUCUGUAUAAUUGUGAAUAUACAUCUUGGUAGCUAUAAUUGAUCAAUCACGGAUGAUACUUGGUGUUUCCUUAUACUAGGCUAAUGGGAAAAUACUCGAAUAACUGAAUCACCUGUCAACAACAGUUUUUCAAAAUUUCUGUAUAAUUGCGAAUAUACAUCUUGGUAGCUAUAAAUUACAUCCUCUGUUUGGUGUUGGUAAGAACAUAUGCUUAGCUUGUUUUAUGCUCUUGUUCAAGACAUCUCGGAUCUGUUAAACCAUGAAGUCUCUUCUUCCACUGUGGAAAUAUGAGCGGCUGACCGCCUGUGCUUCAUUGCCAAUUGGUCGGAUGCCUUGAGAAGUGUGCUGCGUUGCCAAUCGGUCGGAUGCCUUGAGAAGGGUCAAAUAGGGUGGAC